rnacentral:rRNA from 1 species
GACGAACGCUGGCGGCGUGCUUAACACAUGCAAGUCGAACGGAAAGGCUCUGCUUUUGUGUGGUGCUCGAGUGGCGAACGGGUGAGUAACACGUGAGUAACCUGCCCUUGACUUUGGGAUAACUUCAGGAAACUGGGGCUAAUACCGGAUAGGAGCUCCUGCUGCAUGGUGGGGGUUGGAAAGUUUCGGCGGUUGGGGAUGGACUCGCGGGUUAUCAGCUUGUUGGUGGGGUAGUUGCUUACCAAGGCUUUGACGGGUAGCCGGCCUGAGAGGGUGACCGGCCAGAUUGGGACUGAGAUACGGCCCAGACUCCUACGGGAGGGAGCAGUGGGGAAUAUUGCGCAAUGGGAGGAAGCCUGAUGCAGCAACGCCGCGUGCGGGAUAACGGCCUUCGGGUUGUAAAACGCUUUCGCCUGUGACGAAGCGUGAGUGACGGUAAUGGGUAAAGAAGCACCGGCUAACUACGUG